rnacentral:rRNA from 1 species
UACGUAGGUGGCAAGCGUUAUCCGGAUUUAUUGGGUUUAAAGGGUCCGUAGGCGGAUCUGUAAGUCAGUGGUGAAAUCUCACAGCUUAACUGUGAAACUGCCAUUGAUACUGCAGGUCUUGAGUGUUAUUGAAGUAGCUGGAAUAAUUAGUGUAGCGGUGAAAUGCAUAGAUAUUACUUAGAACACCAAUUGCGAAGGCAGGUUACUAAGCAACAACUGACGCUGAUGGACGAAAGCGUGGGGAGCGAACAGG